GCAAGUCGAGCGGAAACGAUCCUAGCUUGCUAGGAGGCGUCGAGCGGCGGACGGGUGAGUAACACGUGAGAAUCUGCCCAUUAGUGGGGGAUAACCUGGGGAAACCCAGGCUAAUACCGCAUAAUCUCUACGGAGGAAAGCAGGGGAUCUUCGGACCUUGUGCUGAUGGAUGAGCUCGCGUCGGAUUAGCUUGUUGGUGAGGUAAUGGCUCACCAAGGCGACGAUCCCUAGCUGGUUUGAGAGGAUGAUC
rnacentral:rRNA from 1 species